UGCAAUUCAAACAUACUGGUGUAGACGCUGUAUAUUCAAGUUCAAUUCCGAAACCACAUGCAUGGUUGAAAGCGAGACAUGCUCACCGUAAAGGUACGGUAAAGCUUCAGACAGACAGUUUAUAUUGACGGAAUAGAUAAAUGCCCAAUUCGUCAAGCAACAGUGACCUAUGUGCCCCGACUGAUUUGCUGCUUCUGAUGGAUGAAUCGUACCUGAAAGGACAUCUGCGCCGAUGUAGAGGACUGCACGUGACCUGAGAGUGGCCAUGUUGUCUUCUACCCAUUCCGUGGAACCGAGCAUACCUUGUUCUUCUCCAUCCCAAAGGGAAAAGAGCAUUGUUCGCAGCGGACGCCACCCUUUCUGCAAAAACAUUUUUGGACGGACAGCUUGAGUAACGCAAGCCAGACUUUACAAUAGAUGAAGAAGCAAAGUAGUAUUCGCAGCUAUCACGAUUGUGGUUUUACGGUAAACCGUUCUUGCGAUAACUGCUUUUUGGUCUUGUAUUACUCAAACAAGGACAGAUAAUCACAGGUAUCCAUAAUGCAUUUAUAUAUUCGAACAAUAAAAUGCUUGUAGGCUUCAAAA